CUGUAAUGUCGGAAGAAUUAUGACUGCCCAGCCAAACAAAGCGUAGAUAACACCACACCCUGCACUUUUCACCUGAGCAAAUGUCACCAAGAUCUCAUGCACGUCAUCUGCCUUGAAUUCAAGGUCUCCUUGGGAGUCUCAUGUCCUUGCCAAGCCUUCGCCAGGCUCUCGCCACUGCCGUUCCUCUACCAGCCCAAGUCUACACAUUCUGAGGCUCUAGGAACACGAGAGAGAACUCCAGUGCUCACAUCCCAUAUUGACCCUCUUUAUGUUCUUCAAUUACCACCUACCUGAAAAAGCCUCAAAGUCUCAGGGGAACAUUCUGGAGUCCCUGCUGCUGAAGAGGGUUUUUUGAGUUUUGGUCGUCUUCCAAAGUUUAUUGUAUGAAGUCUUAGUGCUUCACUGGAGUUUGUCAUAUGUCUGGAUAA
rnacentral:lncRNA from 1 species